GGAGAAGAAACCAUCGUUUAUUGCAGCGCUUCAGCUUUUAAGGCUAUCCCAAUUAGACCUUCUAUCACAAGAGCAUAUGGGCGGGUUGAUGCUGAUGGUUCUCGAUAUUUGCUUGGGGAUCAUAAUGGGCUUCUUCACCUACUUGUAAUCACUCAUGAGAAGGAGAAAGUUACCGGACUCAAAAUUGAGCUACUGGGGGAAACUUCUAUUGCAUCAACCAUAUCAUACCUAGACAAUGCUUUUGUCUUCAUUGGCUCAAGCUACGGAGAUUCACAGCUUGUAAAGCUCAAUCUCCAGCCUGACACCAAAGGUUCUUAUGUGGAAGUUCUAGAGAGAUAUGUCAAUUUAGGACCUAUUGUGGACUUCUGUGUUGUUGAUCUGGAAAGGCAAGGUCAAGGUCAGGUUGUAACUUGCUCU
rnacentral:misc_RNA from 1 species